CCUACGGGUGGCAGCAGUGAGGAAUAUUGGUCAAUGGGCGCGAGCCUGAACCAGCCAAGUAGCGUGAAGGAUGACUGCCCUACGGGUUGUACACUUCUUUUAUAAAGGAAUAAAGUGAGGCACGUGUGCCUUUUUGUAUGUACUUUAUGAAUUAGGAUCGGCUCACUCCUUGCCAGCAGCCGCGGUAAUACGGAGGAUCCGAGCGUUAUCCGGAUUUCAUGGGUUUAAAGGGAGCGUAGAUGGGUUUUUAAGUCAGUUGUUAAAGUUUGCGGCUCAACCGUAAAAUUGCAAUUGAUACUGGCAGUCUUGAGUACAGUUGAGGUAGGCGGAAUGCGUGGUGUAGCGGUGAAAUGCUUAGAUAUCACGAAGAACUCCGAGUGCGAAGGCAGCUUACUAAACUGCCACUGACAUUGAUGCUCGAAAGUGUGGGUAUCAAACAGGAUUAGAUACCCCAGUAGUC
rnacentral:rRNA from 1 species